rnacentral:rRNA from 1 species
UACGUAGGGGGCAAGCGUUGUCCGGAUUUACUGGGCGUAAAGAGCGCGCAGGCGGUUAAUUAAGUCGAAUGUGAAAGCCCCCGGCUCAACUGGGGAGGGUCAUUCGAUACUGAUUGACUUGAAGGCAGGAGAGGGUAGUGGAAUUCCCGGUGUAGUGGUGAAAUGCGUAGAUAUCUGGAGGAACACCGGUGGCGAAGGCGGCAUCCUGGACCGAUAUUGACGCUGAUGCGCGAAAGCCAGGGGAGCAAACGGG